ACUUAUAUAAUAUAAUAAUUAUAUUUAACUUCCAAUUAAAAAAUCUAAAUUUAGUAUAAGUA
rnacentral:tRNA from 1 species